UACGAAGGGGGGCUAGCGUUGCUCGGAAUCACUGGGCGUAAAGCGCACGUAGGCGGAUCUUUAAGUCAGGGGUGAAAUCCCAAGGCUCAACCUUGGAACUGCCUUUGAUACUGGGGAUCUCGAGUCCGGGAGAGGUGAGUGGAACUGCGAGUGUAGAGGUGAAAUUCGUAGAUAUUCGCAAGAACACCAGUGGCGAAGGCGACUCACUGGCCCGAUACUGACGCUGAGGCGCGAAAGCCAGGGGAGCGAACGG
rnacentral:rRNA from 1 species